rnacentral:rRNA from 1 species
AUGAACGCUGGCGGCGUGCCUAAUACAUGCAAGUCGAGCGAACAGAUGAGGAGCUUGCUCCUCUGACGUUAGCGGCGGACGGGUGAGUAACACGUGGAUAACCUACCUAUAAGACUGGUAUAACUUCGGGAAACCGGAGCUAAUACCGGAUAAUAUAUUGAACCGCAUGGUUCAAUAGUGAAAGACGGUUUUGCUGUCACUUAUAGAUGGAUCCGCGCCGCAUUAGCUAGUUGGUAAGGUAACGGCUUACCAAGGCAACGAUGCGUAGCCGACCUGAGAGGGUGAUCGGCCACACUGGAACUGAGACACGGUCCAGACUCCUACGGGAGGCAGCAGUAGGGAAUCUUCCGCAAUGGGCGAAAGCCUGACGGAGCAACGCCGCGUGAGUGAUGAAGGUCUUCGGAUCGUAAAACUCUGUUAUUAGGGAAGAACAAAUGUGUAAGUAACUAUGCACGUCUUGACGGUACCUAAUCAGAAAGCCACGGCUAACUACGUG